UUUAUAUUUCAUACUAAUUCAUUUUAGUUUAUUUUGCCAAAGCUUAGGUCUGUUACAGAUGCCCAUACCAUGAUAUCUCUUACGUGCUAUCCCCAACCCCUCCCUUCCUCCCUCUGCGCACCAUCGCCACCAGCUUUGCCUCUCUGGGGUCCGUGUGCAGCUCCAUCCUCUUGCUCACCUUCUACACUGGCUGUAGCAGGGAGCGGAGCUAGUGAGCAGUGUGCAGAUGAGCCACGGUGGAGGUGACUUGCUUCUCCCUCACCCUCCCCUCUCAUUGUCUGUCCUUCUUCCCACCUAGGACCCUCAAAAUCGUUUCCGCUGCAGACAGAAUGUGGCAACCAAGGGUCGGCCUCUCUCUCUGUUCCUUCGAUGCUCCUCCUCUGAGGUGAUGGUGGGCACAUUUGUCAGUUUCCUCCUUUUCAUAUAGUUCUCCUGGACUAUCCCAGGCCUGCCAGCCACCCCACUGCAGGAUGGCAGUUUUGAAAAUGAGGGGCACCCUCCAAAGAGGAUGACUUUGGGUGACAUGCAGACCCUGCGGUCAAUCAAGGAGAGUAGUGGGUAUUUCUCUUCAAUGUUCUUAUCAUGUAACAUUUAGAACGUGCCAGGCCUCUUUAAAUCAUUCAUUCCUUGAACACUCCCAAUAAUCCUAAAGGGAAAUGCUAUUUAUGAACCCAUUUUACUAAUCUGACAACUAUAACAAGAGGUUUAAGUAACUUGCUCAACAUCAGAGAGCUGAAAACUUAUCACUGAUUUAAAUCUAGCCAGCCUCUCAAGAGAAGCUGUCCAUGAUCAAGCUUUCCUUUGGCCCAGGUAUGUCGUCAGCACUUUUCUAUUGCUGGAAAUCUUUUUUUUUUUUUUUUUGAGACGGAUUCUCCCUGUGUCGGCCAGGCUGGAGUGCAGUGGCUCCAUCUCAGCUCACUGCAACCUCAAUCUCGGCUCACUGCAACCUCCGUCUCCCAGGCUCAAGCAAUUCUCCUGCCUAAGCCUCCAGAGUUAGCUGGGACUACAGGCGUGUGCCAAGAUGAUGCUUGACUCUGAGCUGGCGCAGGUGCAGGACCCACCUGCAGGGAAGAGAAAAAGGCAGUGAGCAGUGAGUGUGGUGCAGGGUUAGGAGCAGGCCCUCAGCAUCCUCAUGCUCAGUGCAUGGGAAACCUGGUACCUUGUUCUGCUCAGGCACACGGAAGCCCAGCCCCAUCUUUUCUCCACACAGGUUGUGAUAGGCAGGCGCCCUCCUAAUUUUACUCCACAAGGCCUUAUGUCAGGAAUCCUUAAGAGGCAAUGCUCCCUGCCUCCCAUCCACUUCAGGCAGCUCUAAUGCGGGACAGAGCACUGGGUCCCAGCCCAGGACCCUACUGGCUAUCUGGGUGACCCGGAGCAGGGCAGUUUUGAGCCUCAGUCCUCUAGCCUCAGAAAUGGAAGGCACUGGGAAGAUGACAACAGUCUAAGUGGUGAUGAAGGCGCUUGGCAGGAAGAAAGCACCGGAAGUGCAAAGUAAAGGAGGCCACUUUAGGGAGAGCUAACAUGCACCUCCCUCCUGCCCCGGGGACAUUCCAUCCUCUGGAAUGAAAAUGGAGAUCCUAAGGCCCGAAACCCGGUAUCUCUUACUAGUGGAGCAGGAGCACUUGGGGUACAUUUCGAGCCGAGGUGGUCGCGUUAUCCUCAUCCCCCGCCCUGCACCUUCGUCAUCAGCUUUGCCUCUCCCGUGUCCGUGUGUAGCUCCAUCCUCGUGCUCGCCUUCUUCAUUGGCGGAAGCUGGGAGCCGAGAGAGUGAGCCGUGCGCAGAUGUGCGGCGGUGGAGGUGGCUUUUGUUUCUCCUCCGCGCCCCCUCCCCCCCCGCCCCGCACAUUGCCUGUCGCUCUUCCCACCUAGGACCCUCAAACUGGUUCCCCCUGUACACAGAACCUGGCGACCACGGAUCAUCCCCUCUCUCUUCCUUCGAUGCGAUCAUAUAACAUUUAGAUUUUGCCAGGCCCCUUUAAAUCAUUGCUUCUUUGAACCCUCCCAACAAUCCUAAAGGGAAAUACUGUUUAUGAACCCGUUUUACUAAUCUGACAAUUAUAGCAUAAAGUUUAAGUAACUUGCUCAACAUCACGGAAUGGAAAAGUUGUCACUGAUUUGAAUCCAGCCAGCCUCUCAAGAGAAAGUGUCGAUGAUCAAGCCUUCCUUUGGCCCAGGUUACAUGAAGGUCAAAUGACAUGAAGAAUGGGAAAGGAUUUUAUGAGUGUUCAAAUGUUGGGGGAGCGUCUUAUCACAGAGGACUUUCUGCAGGAGGACAUCCACACUCCUCCUGUCACUGGAUCAGCCAGGAACAUCACCACACUCAGCCAGCUGCACAAUCUGCCAUAGCUGUGUUCUGAGAACUUCUGUAAACAAAGUAAUAUUAAUUAUGGAGAUGAUGAAAUCACAAUCAAAAUUCCAAACUAAGUUCAUCUGCAACCCACGAUCACACUACAUCUUGGCGGGAAUAUGCUGGUUUGAAGUAGUCAAGGGCUGGAGUUUGAAAGAGGAACAAAUGAAGCCUGACCUUGGGAGGAACUUCCAAAGAUUCUGAGCCAACUCCCAACAGGGAGCUCUCAGGAUUCAGCGAGUGUCCUGAGUGUGCUGUCUGUCUGUGACGCCGGCUAGGCCAAGCCUGAUGGUUCCUCAUGAGAAUGUCCUGGCCUGUGCUGCUGAAGGUGUGGUCCACAGUGGGGUCAGUCUGCUGUUUCCAGUCUCCAAUGCAACUCAUCCAUGAACAUAUGUGCAGAGUUUGUAAACCUUCCAUUUUUCUGUUAUUUCUGUAUGUAUUUAUUGAUUUUUUUGUGUAAAAUGUAAAACAUGGGUUCUGUAUUUUGUGUUUCAUUAUCUUCAUAGUUAAUAUUACUUUAUUUACAAAGGUUUAGGUCUGGGAUGGAUAGAAAAUGAAAACUGUCCCUUCACCGUGGAGUUUGAGAAGCCCCGUGGAGGAUUCAAGUAAUUUAGGCAUUGGAAUCCACCUCCUGUGGUCACUUUCAAGCCUAAAAUCCGCGGAGGAUCUGAACUUGGGCAGGGAAACCUGAGAAUAAACAUGAGGAAUGGAGAAGUCUCUGUACCACGUUUAAUGAGUGGAGCUGAUCGCGUAUGUCCCCAUCCCCAUAUCAUCCAGCACAGUGCAGGUGCCUUUUACAG
rnacentral:lncRNA from 1 species